rnacentral:rRNA from 1 species
AUGGCAUACGAUAUGCUCGAUGCGAUUAACAAUGGGAAGGAUUCCUGGAAAGUGAAGGUCAGAGUAAUUAGGCUAUGGGACGCCAUUAACCUCAAUAACAAUGAACUAAUUAGCCUUGACAUGAUACUGCUUGAUGAACAGGGCACUAUGAUACAUGCGAAGGUAAUAAAACAUAUGGUUAACAAGUUCAGGCCAUUGAUCCAAGAAGGUUUAGUCUACAUGAUAGCAAAUUUCAAGGUUACAUCUGCCAUGAAUUUCCGUCCAGUUGAAGGCGACAAGAUUAUUAACUUCUUGCACACAACAAAAAUUCAAGAGAUUAAGGGACUUAAAAAUAUCAGAAUAGCAGAACAAAGUUUCAUGUUUUGUAGUGUUGAAGUUCUUUCCAGAAGAGAUGGCCAGAGGAUGUACUUAUCCGAUGUCAUUGGGGUAGCAAGUUAUAUAGGGAAUAUUGAAGAGACGGAGACAACUCAUGGGAUUUCCAAGAUUCGAGAUAUUGUACUUCGAAUUGAGGAUCAAAAAGUUAAUAUUAGACUCUGGGGCAAUAAGGUUGACCAAAUUGAUGAAGAUUCUGUGGGACGUGUUGUCAUAGUAACAUCAACAACGGUUAGAAAAUUGAAAGAGUACUCGCUGUCAUCUACAGGUGCGACCAAAGUAUAUAUCGAUUUGGAUAUCCCUGAAACAACUGAGCUCCAAACGAGGUAUUGCUUGGAAGAUGAUAUCAUAGAGGAAACAGGGCCGGAAGCCCACUUGCAAGGAACAAUUCAAGAACAAAUGCUCUAUAACAGAAAGACACUAAGAGAAAUAACUGAAAUUGCAUAUGAAUCUGAAAAAAUAGGAAAAGUUCUAUACUGCCGAAGCAACCAUUAA